rnacentral:rRNA from 1 species
AUACAGAGGGUGCAAGCGUUACUCGGAAUCACUGGGCGUAAAGCGCGCGCAGGCGGUCUUUUAAGUUGGAUGUGAAAGCCUACGGCUCAACCGUAGAACUGCAUCCAAAACUAUUAGACUAGAGUGUGGGAGAGGAAGAUGGAAUUAGUUGUGUAGGGGUAAAAUCCGUAGAGAUAACUAGGAAUACCAAAAGCGAAGGCAAUCUUCUGGAACACUACUGACGCUGAGGCGCGAAAGCGUGGGGAGCAAACAGGAUUAGAAACCCUUGUAGUCC